UUCUUUCAACAGCAGCAACAGUGAGUCAAACACCUCCGUAGCUUACUAGACAAAAUAGCCGAACCAAUAAAGCUUUUUAGACGCUUUAGUGUAUAUUACCCUGCAUUUUUAACCCACUUCUGUCGUCUCGUUAUCCGAUUUAUAUUUCAUAUUUACAGUGUUGUUGUUAUUAGUCAGCUAGCGGGCUGGUUUCGUUAGCAUUAGCCUAGCUAGCGAACAUCUCCGACCAUGAGUUCACUAAGCUACUCUCCUGAUAAAGAAGAGGCGGUCUGCUGGACGGAGAAAGAAGCUCUGGUGAAAGAGGAGGAGGAAGAGGAGGCUGUUUCAAUACAAAAACAAGUAGAUGGUGAGUCUGUUUCCGUGAAAGAAGAAGAACAAGACGUUAGAGUGAAAGAAGAGGAAGACGCGUUCAGAGUGAAAGAGGAGGAGGAUGUUACAGUAAAAGAAGAGGAAAGAGAAAGAGGAUGAUGCAGUUUUUGGAGUGAAAGAGGAGGAGGAGAUGACUGUCACAUCCAAAAAAGAGGAGGAAAUUGGACAUCUGGGCCCAGUUUCCCAAACGUAUCUUAACGCAUCCAAUGGUUCUAACGGUGAAUUUAGCCGUAAGAUGCUUUUGAGAAACCGUUCCCUGAUUAACACUAGAGAGAGAAGUGAUUAUUGUGGGUCCUCUGGGGAGCCUCAACAGCCUGAUAAUGCUGACGAGGCAGACAAAAGUAUCUUCAGAUCAGAACACAUCAAGAAACCCCAGCAGAGACCCACAGGGAAGAAACCUCACCACUGCUCUGACUGUGGGAAGAGUUACUUAAGAUCAAAUUCACUGAAAGUACACCUGAGAAUACACACUAGAGAGAAACUUCACUGCUGCUCUGACUGCGGGAAGAGAUUCACCUCUUCAGUAGACCUUAAAAUACAUAAGAGAAUUCACACUGGAGAGAAACCUUAUGGCUGUGAUCAAUGUGGGAAAUGUUUUACUCAGCCAAGCAACCUGAAAUCACACCAACGAAUACACACAGGAGAGAAACCAUUUAGCUGUAAUCAAUGUGGUAAGAGUUUUAUUCAGUCAAGCAGCCUGAUAGUGCACCAGAGAACACACACAGGAGAGAAAUUUUAUAGCUGUAAUCAUUGUGGGAAGAGUUUCACUCAGUCAAGCAGCCUGAUAGUGCACCAGAGAACACACACAGGAGAGAAGCCAUAUGACUGUCCUCAAUGUGGGAAGAGUUUUGUUACAUCUGGCAGUCUGAAGACACACCAGAGAACACACACGGGAGAGAAACCUUAUAGCUGUGAUCAAUGUGGGAAGAGUUUUACUCAGCCAAACAGCCUGAUAGUACAUUUGAGAACACACACAGGAGAGAAAUCUUAUAGCUGUGAUCAAUGUGACAAGAGAUUCUCUGAUAAAAGAUUUCUGAUCAAACAUCAGAAAAUACAUACAUGAAAAAGUUGUUUCAUGAUAUCAAUGAAAUGUCACAAUGUGGAAUGUUUUUUAAAUUGUAGGAGUAUUUUAAUGAAUGUCACAAUAUAGAACCCUAAGUGUUUGCCCCCUGCUUAUUUGAUUUUAGCAUGAUAUGGAUAUUAGCCUCAGGGGGAAAAAUCCAGGCUCUGAAUUGAGAGUACUAUUUAUGAGAUUUAACAAACCGUGUUGUGUAACACCAUGUUUGCCACCCUCUUGAAUCAAAAUGUUAAACUUCAAAAUGUAGCUGACUGUCUUCUUCAGGUUGUCCUCUAACCAGUGAGGUAAAAGAUAUCUCCCAUUUCCAUGUGUUUUUUAAUUGUGUUUGUUUCAACAGCACAUACAACUGAUUUCCCUCCUAAUCGAUAUCGGUGAUUUAUUGCUACUUGUCAAAACAACUGCGUUUCUGGUGCUUGUGCAGUUUUUAUGGUGCUUCUAUGAUUAUUGUGGCAGAUGUGUUUUUUUUUUAUUUAACCUUUAUUUAACGAGGUAGGCUAGUUGAGAACAAGUUCUCAUUUGCAACUGCGACCUGGCCAAAAUAAAGGAAAGCAGUGUGACAGACAACAACAUAGAGUUACACAUGGAGUAAACUAUAAACAAGCCAAUAACACAAACAAGUCAAUGACACAGUAGAAAAAAGAAAGUCUGUAUACUGUGUGUGCCAAAGACAUAAGGAGGUAGGAGCGAAUAAUUACAAUUUAGCAGAUUAACACUGGAGUGAUUAAUGAGCAGAUGACGUGCAAAAGAAAAUGUAAAUAGCACAUUUUAUAUUGAGGUUUUCAAUACAUUUCAUAUAGCAGGCAAAAACCUGAGAAAUUCCACUUCCUGUUUUUUUCUGGAGGUGGCAUUGAAAUUACAGCGAGAAAAUUAUGAGUUUUCACUUCUUACGCCUUCCACUAGAUGUCAGCAGUCAAUAGAGCUCCUCUCUAUCCAUCCUUCUCUCAGCCCCUUUCUCUCUCAAUCUCUCGUUUUUCUCUCAAAGGCAGGCAGGCAAGCUUUCUGUUCACCUGUUUUCCUAUUUUUCAUUGAUCUGUUUAGUUUUUUUUCUUGCAUAAUCCAGUAUUUUCAAAAAUGAUGUCUUUGGUGGUGUAUGGUGAAGUAGAUUAUUGGCCAGUAUUUGUCAAUGUUCUUAUAUCUCUCUCUCCUACUAUCUGGAUUUGUAAUGUUGCUCUUUUCAAAUGUUGUUCUUUGUAGUUAUAGUGUAAUGUUAUGUUCCUGUUAUGAAUUUGAAUAAAUAUCUAUAUAUAUGUACAA